GUUGAGGAAGUUGUCUCCUAUACCAAGGGGUUCAAGGCUAUUUGCCCCUUUCUGUUAUAGUAGGUUUAGAGUAUCUGGCUUUCCAUUAAGGUCGUUGAUCCAUUUACUUGAGUUUUGUGAAGAGUGAUAGAUAUGGAUCUAUUUGUAUUCUACAUGCAGAAAUCUGGUUAGACCAGCACCAUUUGUUGAAGAUACUUUUUUAUUCCAUUGUAUGGUUUUGGCUUCUUUGACAAAGAUCAAGUAGCCAUAGGCCUGGCAGACCGUGCUGCCAGACAGGACAGAAGGCACUGGUUUGCUGGGAGUUGCCCUCUUCCCUUCAUCAACAGACUUACUCCAUCAUGCAGCCAUGUGAGGCUGGCGUGGCUUGCCCUUCACAUUUCCUGCCUUCUCUGGUGAUAGGGGAUUUGUUGACAUUUUUCUACAAACCCUGUUGCUAUGAUGAAUCAGAAACAGAUUUCAAGCUCCAGCACUCUCAGAGUUAAGCUGCAUUGAAAAGGAGGG
rnacentral:lncRNA from 1 species